ACCUACGGGGCGCAGCAGUAGGGAAUCUUCCACAAUGGGCGAAAGCCUGAUGGAGCAACGCCGCGUGGGUGAAGAAGGUCUUCGGAUCGUAAAACCCUGUUGUUAGAGAAGAAAGUGCGUGAGAGUAACUGUUCACGUUUCGACGGUAUCUAACCAGAAAGCCACGGCUAACUACGUGCCAGCAGCCGCGGUAAUACGUAGGUGGCAAGUGUUAUCCGGAUUUAUUGGGCGUAAAGGGAACGCAGGCGGUCUUUUAAGUCUGAUGUGAAAGCCUUCGGCUUAACCGGAGCAGUGCAUUGGAAACC
rnacentral:rRNA from 1 species